rnacentral:miRNA from 1 species
CGGGUCGGCGCUGCACGCGGC